AUUGAACGCUGGCGGCAUGCCUUACACAUGCAAGUCGAACGGCAGCACGGGAGCAAUCCUGGUGGCGAGUGGCGAACGGGUGAGUAAUAUAUCGGAACGUGCCCAGUCGUGGGGAUAACGUAGCGAAAGCUACGCUAAUACCGCAUACGAUCUAUGGAUGAAAGCGGGGGAUCGCAAGACCUCGCGCGAUUGGAGCGGCCGAUAUCAGAUUAGGUAGUUGGUGGGGUAAAAGCCUACCAAGCCUUCGAUCUGUAGCUGGUCUGAGAGGACGACCAGCCACACUGGAACUGAGACACGGUCCAGACUCCUACGGGAGGCAGCAGUGGGGAAUUUUGGACAAUGGGCGCAAGCCUGAUCCAGCAAUGCCGCGUGCAGGAUGAAGGCCUUCGGGUUGUAAACUGCUUUUGUACGGAACGAAACGGUUCUCUCUAAUACAGGGGGCUAAUGACGGUACCGUAAGAAUAAGCACCGGCUAACUACGUG
rnacentral:rRNA from 1 species